UACAGAGGUCUCAAGCGUUGUUCGGAUUCAUUGGGCGUAAAGGGUGUGUAGGUGGCCAACUAAGUCAUACGUGAAAUCCCUCGGCUUAACCGGGGAACUGCGUCUGAUACUGGAUGGCUUGAGGUUGGGAGAGGGAUGCGGAAUUCCAGGUGUAGCGGUGAAAUGCGUAGAUAUCUGGAGGAACACCGGUGGCGAAGGCGGCAUCCUGGACCAAUUCUGACACUGAGGAGCGAAAGCCAGGGGAGCAAAACCGGG
rnacentral:rRNA from 1 species